rnacentral:rRNA from 1 species
AUUAUUUUAAGAUUAUUUUUUAUUGUUGAAAAAAUUAAAAAUAAAUUGUUUUUAACAAAAAUUAAAAUUUAUAAUAUUUCAUUUUUUGGUUUUUUGUUUUAAAUUAAAAUAAUAAAUAUGGGGGAAAAAAAAAUUUUGUUAUAAAUUAUAUUAGUUUAUUUUAAUUAAAAAUAUUUUUUAUUAAAUUUGUUUUUUUUAUUUUUUUAUAAAAAAUAUUAAUUUAAUUAUUAUUAUUGAGUUUAAUUUAGUUAUUUUUAAAAAAAUUUUGUAUAAAAUAAAUUUGAUAAUAAAUGUUUUUUAAAUUCUUUGGGGGUUUAGUUUUUGAUUUUUU